ACUAUAAGUCUCCUGAAGGAACGUUGAAGACGACGACGUUGAUAGGCCGGGUGUGUAAGCGCAGCGAUGCGUUGAGCUAACCGGUACUAAUGAACCGUGAGGCUUAACCUUACAACGCCGAAG
rnacentral:rRNA from 1 species